UCUCGCAUUCUCUCAUCGGGCUCUGAAAGCACCCGAGUGGGGAGGGGAUGAGCUACCUCUAUUAAGAAAGAAUCUACCCUUCUAGCCGCACUUUUUACGCCUCUAUUCUGACAUCAACCAAGCCAUUUAGACGGAGUUCAAUUAGGAUCGUCCUUCCUUCAGGUAACGGGGUUGAGUCAGGGAACUUGUUAGGAGUAUGUUUUGGCUUGCCCCUUUCUCUAAUAAUAAGGUAUCCAAAACUCCUUCCUUCUGCUGGUGCGCAGGAGCGCACUUCCGUUUUCC
rnacentral:lncRNA from 1 species